rnacentral:rRNA from 1 species
GCUUGACACUGAACAUUGAGCCUUGAUGUGUAGGAUAGGUGGGAGGCUUUGAAGCGUGGACGCCAGUCUGCGUGGAGCCGACCUUGAAAUACCACCCUUUAAUGUUUGAUGUUCUAACGUGGACCCGUAAUCCGGGUUGCGGACAGUGUCUGGUGGGUAGUUUGACUGGGGCGGUCUCCUCCUAAAGAGUAACGGAGGAGCACGAAGGUUGGCUAAUCCUGGUCGGACAUCAGGAGGUUAGUGCAAUGGCAUAAGCCAGCUUGACUGCGAGCGUGACGGCGCGAGCAGGUGCGAAAGCAGGUCAUAGUGAUCCGGUGGUUCUGAAUGGAAGGGCCAUCGCUCAACGGAUAAAAGGUACUCCGGGGAUAACAGGCUGAUACCGCCCAAGAGUUCAUAUCGACGGCGGUGUUUGGCACCUCGAUGUCGGCUCAUCACAUCCUGGGGCUGAAGUAGGUCCCAAGGGUAUGGCUGUUCGCCAUUUAAAGUGGUACGCGAGCUGGGUUUAGAACGUCGUGAGACAGUUCGGUCCCUAUCUGCCGUGGGCGCUGGAGAACUGAGGGGGGCUGCUCCUAGUACGAGAGGACCGGAGUGGACGCAUCACUGGUGUUCGGGUUGUCAUGCCAAUGGCACUGCCCGGUAGCUAAAUGCGGAAGAGAUAAGUGCUGAAAGCAUCUAAGCACGAAACUUGCCCCGA